AAACCGAAUUUUCAUUUUCUUAUCUCUAUCUCCCUCUCGGGUCAAACUCCUCUCUCUCCCUCUUGGCUUUCUCUUAUUUCUUUUUCUCUUUAAGUUCAAGUUGCAGUUUUUGGGAUAUGGCUUUGAUCUGGGUUUAGAGAAAGAGAGGCUGAGAUGUGGUGGUUUGGAUUGGGUAGAGAGAGAGGGGCUGAGAUUGGCGGUGGUUUGGAUUUGGGUUUAGAGAGAGGGGCUAAGAAUGGCGGUGAUUUGGAGUAGAUCAAGGGGAAGGAACCUUUGAACCGGCCCUUUCGCUUUUCGAGUUUUUCCUCGACCAACGCCGAGUAGAGCAAGGGGCGUUUUCUAUGGGUAUCCGACCCGAUCUUCAUCAACAAUGCGCAGAGGAAGGACUAACGGAAAGUUGCCUAUUUGGGUUUGAGAAUAUUGGGGGUUUUGGUUUGUUUUUCCUGUGGGUAUCUGACUCGAUAUUCAUCAACAAUUCAUUUUCUCUCUCACACAAUUCAACCGGUCUGGAUUUUUUGUGUUUGUUUCCCAAGAAAAUUUACUGGUUUGAAGGUUAAGGUUUACUUUGUUGAUCAGUUUGGUUGUUGGGUUUAUUGGUUUUCUGGGUUUGGUUGUUUUGCUAGAGAUUUGGGUUUGAUUCUUUGUUGGAGAUUGAUUUUGCAGGAGAUCUGGGUUUAAGAGUUGUAGCUGCAACUGUAAUUGCAACCUCACCCAUCUAGGGUCCUAACCAUUUUGAAAUUGAUCUGGACAUUCUUCGAUUCAGCUACAUAAGGAAGGGACUUGAAGCCUUCCAAUAACGUCUAUAAAAUGAAAUACUUGGGUUUAACAAUCCAGGAAGAACUGCCAGAGCAAGUACUGUGCUAUUGGAGAACGAACAA